rnacentral:rRNA from 1 species
UGGCUCCAGUGACCGGGUCGGUUGGCCUGUUAAUUGAUACUGGUGCGGUUUAUGAUCCGUGGCCGGCAGAUGUGCGUCGUGCGUGCGUGUUGAGAAACUCGCACGUUGACGACGUGCUGACGUUGGACUAGUGAUAAGACCAACUUGUGGACGUUUACAGGUGUGUGCUUUGUUUUCGGACAUAGUAUCCUGAUCGACCAUCAAAACGGUCGAACUGGAACUGGUACGGACUCGGGGAAUCCGACUGUCUAAUUAAAACAGAGGAGACAGAUGGUCCUUGCGGACGUUUACUGUCUCUGAUUUCUGCCCAGUGCUCUGAAUGUUAAAUCGUAGUAAUUCGAGUAAGCGCGGGUAAACGGCGGGAGUAACUAUGACUCUCUUAAGGUAGCCAAAUGCCUCGUCAGCURACUACUGACGCGCAUGAAUGGAUUAACGAGAUUCCCACUGUCCCUAACUACUAUCUAGCGAAACCACAGCCAAGGGAACGGGCUUGGYAAAAAUAGCGGGGAAAGAAGACCCUGUUGAGCUUGACUCUAGUUUGACAUUGUGAAGAAUCAUGAGAGGUGUAGCAUAGKUGGGAGAUCUUCACAUUCACAUGUGUUGGUCACCAAUGAAAUACCACCACUUUCAUCGAUUCUUUACUUAUUCGGUGAGAAGAGGAUUGAGUUUCUUUGCUCUUUUUUAUUUGUAUUAAGUACAAUCACCUGGUGAUUAUACGACUCUCGCCGAAGACAGUGUCAGGCGGGGAGUUUGACUGGGGCGGUACAUCUGUCAAACUGUAACGCAGGUGUCCUAAGGCUAGCUCAGAGAGGACGGAAACCUCUCGUAGAGCAAAAGGGCAAAAGCUCGCUUGAUCUUGACUUYCAGUACGAGUACAGACCGCGAAAGCGUGGCCUAUCGAUCCUUUUAAUCCAGAUAGUUUCUGGUAAGAGGUGUCAGAAAAGUUACCACAGGGAUAACUGGCUUGUGGCAGCCAAGCGUCCAUAGCGACGUUGCUUUUUGAUCCUUCGAUGUC